rnacentral:snRNA from 1 species
AUACUCUGGUUUCUCUUCAGGUCAUAUAAAUCUUUCUCCUUUU